CCCCGGCCGCUCCAUCUGGGUCCCAUCUGCUGCUGUUGGCUCCCGUCCCUUCCCCCAGCCCUAAACUCAGAUGUAUUUAAACACACACAUCAAAGGCACCGGGCAGCCCCCGGGGAGCCCCAGCUCGCAGCACAUUUCCUUCUAUUAAGCCUGAAAGCCGGGGCGCAAGCCAACUCCAGCGCCGGGGAGAGAGCAGGAACGUGCCUCGCCUCCCGCCGGCCCAGCUCAGCUGGAGCGGGGAAGGUGAUGGAGGGGGCAGCCGGGGUGAAUUCACCCCGGUUUCACCUCUUCAGUGGCAUUUUGGCAGCAGCUUUGCCCCCAAACAUCCACGGGGCAGGAGCAGUCCCACUGGGCAUCACCUCUGCGGUGAUGGGGAGCAAGCCAGGUCCCCACCGAAAACGGCUUGGGGAGGGUGGAGAAGAGGAAAACUAAUUAUCCCUUCAGAUUUGCAAGUUUGGGGUAGUUUUUUUCCAUCAUUUCCAGCAAGAAUUCUCCCAGGUCCCUAAGGCAAAUGCCACCAGCGCUGGGGCCAGGCCACGGUACCAACCGGGACACGCAGGAUCCCACCAGAGCCACCGACUAAAGGCUCAGGGGAGGGAGCACGGCUGAGCCCAACACUAAAACCCCAGAAAAAUCCCACAUUUUCUCAGCGGCAACGACAGCAGCUCGGUCGGAGGCGGCACCACGGCGCUCAAGGACGCAGGGGAGGGACAGGAACGGGGGGACACGCGGGUCUCGGCGGGCACCUACUUGCUUGAACUGCUCCUCGUAGGUCCAGUCGCCGUGGUCGGGCGCCGGGGGCGGGGGCUGCGCGUGGCCCAGGCCGGGGGGGAGCCGCUCCUGGCCCCCCGGCAGCCGCUGGGGCUCACCCCGGUAAUGCUGGGGGGCCGGGGGCUUGCGGAGCAGCAGGGACCCCGCGCCCGCCCGAACCGCCUCCGCCGAGCUGAGCCCUUCCUCUCCCAUGUCUUCCUCCUCCUCAUAGUCUUCCUCUUCCUCCUCCUCCUCUUCUUCCUCCUCCUCGCCCAGGUCCUCUUCAAAGUCAUCUUCGUCCCACUUGCCCUUCCUAGAACAGGGGGGAGAGGAGAGCUGGUCCCAAGCCAGGCAGGGGGCUGGGUCCCCAAAGUCAAUCCCCCUCCCCUGCCCCACAGGCACCCCACAGCCGUGGGGCUGAGACCA
rnacentral:lncRNA from 1 species